AGAGGAAGUAAAAGUCGUAACAAGGUCUCCGUAGGUGAACCUGCGGAGGGAUCAUUACACAAUAAAAUACGAAGGCCGUUCGCGGCUGGACUAUUUAUUACCCUUGUCUUUUGCGCACUUGUUGUUUCCUGGGCGGGUUCGCUCGCCACCAGGACCACAAUAUAAACCUUUUUUAUGCAGUUGCAAUCAGCGUCAGUAUAACAAAUGUAAAUCAUUUACAACUUUCAACAACGGAUCUCUUGGUUCUGGCAUCGAUGAAGAACGCAGCGAAAUGCGAUACGUAGUGUGAAUUGCAGAAUUCAGUGAAUCAUCGAAUCUUUGAACGCACAUUGCGCCCUUUGGUAUUCCAAAGGGCAUGCCUGUUCGAGCGUCAUUUGUACCCUCAAGCUUUGCUUGGUGUUGGGCGUUUUUGUCCCCCCCAAAAAGGGGACUCGCCUUAAAAGGAUUGGCAGCCGGCCUACUGGUUUCGCAGCGCAGCACAUUUUUGCGCUUGCAAUCAGCAAAAGAGGACGGCAAUCCAUCAAGACUCCUUCUCACGUUUGACCUCGGAUCAGGUAGGGAUACCCGCUGAACUUAAGCAUAUCAAU
rnacentral:rRNA from 1 species